UUUGUGUCCUUUUCAGCUCUUUGUUUAUUCACUCAACAGCGAAUCAGUGUUUUGUUUGUAUAGAGGAGACGGUAACUUGGCUGGUGCAUCGUCUGUUUUCAGUCGAGGGUGGCUAAGAAGUGUUGCACUGCUCCAAAAUUCCUUUUGUUUAAACCCUCUCAGGUUUUACAAGUUCUUGCUGGUUAUUUUUCCGUCUUUUUUAGCGUGCGUUUUUAAUUAUGUUUUUUUUGGGUUGUGUCAUUUGAUUUAGUUCUUUUUUAUUUUCAGCAAGCGGUAAUUGUCGUCCUGCACUCUAGCAACCGUAAAGAACACUGCUUUAGGUACACUUACCCUCUGAUGAAAAUCUCAAGUUUAAGUCUUUAUUGAUUUUUAAGUGAAGUGUUUUAUCGGCACAUAAUACCAUAUAAUUAUGUUCCAUGCCAUGAAGGGACGGAGAUGCCCCUGGUGCUGGUGAGUGCAUGCAUGCUGCUUGCUUACUGGUGAGUUCUUGGUUUGGAUGGUUAUUUUUUUUUUUGGAUGGUUAUUUUUUGUUUGGAUGGUUAUUUUUUGUUUGCUUACUGGUGGUUCAGAUUCAAUGGUUAUUUUUUGUUUGCUUACUGGUGGUUAUUUUUUGUUUGCUUACUGGAUGGUUAUUUUUUGUUUGCUUACAUAUACAUCUCACACACACACACACACACACACACACACAAUAAGUACUUGGCCAAUAUUGUAGAAAACACAGUUUCUUUAGCCUAUGGAAAAGAGCAUAGUUUCUUGAAACAUUUUGGUAAAAUGUCAUGAAUGGUAGAUUAUGCUUUUUUGGGUUUAAAUUAUGUAUAAUGUGUAGAUUAUGCUUACAUGGAGAUUAUGCUAUUUUAUUUGAUUAAUGAAUAUAGUUCUAUUAUUUAAUUUUUACAGAUUUUUACAUAAUGUCUCAAUCUCAAAGUCAAAGUACCCCUAGUAGUACUAAUGUAGCAUCAUCUACGGCUACAUCACCAUGUC